rnacentral:lncRNA from 1 species
CUUGCUGCAGAGAGGGGCCACAGGGACCACUGCAGAGGCCACAUGGACCACAGCAGGCUUGCCCACUCUGUCAGGAGAUCAGCAGCUUGAUGUCUCCAUCCUGUACCAUGAUGUGAUAGCAGGAAGACGUUUCUUACAUCUCCACAAGAGCUUAAUGCUAAGUAUGGAUUGGAUAAGCAAAUUAUUUCAUGAGUCAUUUUUUCUUUUUAAAUGCUUUUUUGGAAUAUAAGUAAUAGAUACUUUUUUAAAAAUGAAACUAAAGAUAAAAGGAACAAAAAAAAAAAAAGCAAACAACCCACCUAUUGUUCCACCAUCUGAUUGUAACCACUGUUAACCAGUGUGGCUCUUCAGCGUCCUCACUACGCUGCUUUUGUUCCUUUUCCAUGAAAUAUCCUGGUCUCACGCACACUCUUCCACCUUUGUCCCCUUUUACACUGUAUCACAGACGUGUUUCUCUGUUGCUAAGUAAGUAACUACUACUCUUUUUAACACCUGUGUAGUCAUUCCUUGGAUAGUUAAGCUGUUUCCAGUUUUCUACUCUUGUAGUCAGGACUCAAUAAAAACUGUUUCUGACGUCUUUGUAAACUGUUUAGAAUAUUUGCAUAGAAUAAAUUUCUAAUAUUAGCCUUU